rnacentral:rRNA from 1 species
GUCGAGCGGAUGAAGGGAGCUUGCUCCCUGAUUCAGCGGCGGACGGGUGAGUAAUGCCUAGGAAUCUGCCUGGUAGUGGGGGACAACGUCUCGAAAGGGACGCUAAUACCGCAUACGUCCUACGGGAGAAAGUGGGGGAUCUUCGGACCUCACGCUAUCAGAUGAGCCUAGGUCGGAUUAGCUAGUUGGUGAGGUAAUGGCUCACCAAGGCGACGAUCCGUAACUGGUCUGAGAGGAUGAUCAGUCACACUGGAACUGAGACACGGUCCAGACUCCUACGGGAGGCAGCAGUGGGGAAUAUUGGACAAUGGGCGAAAGCCUGAUCCAGCCAUGCCGCGUGUGUGAAGAAGGUCUUCGGAUUGUAAAGCACUUUAAGUUGGGAGGAAGGGCAGUAAAUUAAUACUUUGCUGUUUUGACGUUACCGACAGAAUAAGCACCGGCUAACUCUGUGCCAGCAGCCGCGGUAAUACAGAGGGUGCAAGCGUUAAUCGGAAUUACUGGGCGUAAAGCGCGCGUAGGUGGUUUGUUAAGUUGAAUGUGAAAUCCCCGGGCUCAACCUGGGAACUGCAUCC